rnacentral:rRNA from 1 species
GAUGAACGCUGGCGGCGUGCCUAAUACAUGCAAGUCGAGCGAACAGACGAGGAGCUUGCUCCUCUGACGUUAGCGGCGGACGGGUGAGUAACACGUGGAUAACCUACCUAUAAGACUGGGAUAACUUCGGGAAACCGGAGCUAAUACCGGAUAAUAUAUUGAACCGCAUGGUUCAAUAGUGAAAGACGGUUUUGCUGUCACUUAUAGAUGGAUCCGCGCCGCAUUAGCUAGUUGGUAAGGUAACGGCUUACCAAGGCUACGAUGCGUAGCCGACCUGAGAGGGUGAUCGGCCACACUGGAACUGAGACACGGUCCAGACUCCUACGGGAGGCAGCAGUAGGGAAUCUUCCGCAAUGGGCGAAAGCCUGACGGAGCAACGCCGCGUGAGUGAUGAAGGUCUUCGGAUCGUAAAACUCUGUUAUUAGGGAAGAACAAAUGUGUAAGUAACUAUGCACGUCUUGACGGUACCUAAUCAGAAAGCCACGGCUAACUACGUG